CAGUAGCCGCGGGAAUACGUAGGGCGCAAGCGUUAUCCGGAAUUAUUGGGCGUAAAGAGCUCGUAGGCGGUUUGUCGCGUUUGCCGUGAAAGUCCGGGGCUCAACCCCGGAUCUGCGGUGGGUACGGGCAGACUAGAGUGAUGUAGGGGAGACUGGAAUUCCUGGUGUAGCGGUGAAAUGCGCAGAUAUCAGGAGGAACACCGAUGGCGAAGGCAGGUCUCUGGGCAUUAACUGACGCUCAGGUGCGAAAGCGUGGGGAGCAAACAGGAUUAGAGACCUCAGUAGUCCCUGUCUCUUAUAC
rnacentral:rRNA from 1 species